rnacentral:rRNA from 1 species
UACGAAGGGAGCUAGCGUUGUUCGGAAUUACUGGGCGUAAAGGGCGCGUAGGCGGCUUUGUAAGUCAGAUGUGAAAGCCCCGGGCUUAACCUGGGAACUGCAUUUGAUACUGCAAGGCUAGAGGAUGAGAGAGGAAAGUGGAAUUACGAGUGUAGAGGUGAAAUUCGUAGAUAUUCGUAAGAACACCAGUGGCGAAGGCGGCUUUCUGGCUCAUAACUGACGCUAAGGCGCGAAAGCGUGGGGAGCAAACAGG